rnacentral:rRNA from 1 species
CAAAGUACAAGCCAACACACAACAGCACCCCAAAAGAAGGCAAAAGCAAGAGUUGUAAAACAGAUAAAACACACUUAUCAAAAUAUUUAAAAGUUUUAGAGUUUGAUCAUGGCUCAGAUUGAACGCUGGCGGCAGGCCUAACACAUGCAAGUCGAGCGGAAACGAGUUAUCUGAACCUUCGGGGAACGAUAACGGCGUCGAGCGGCGGACGGGUGAGUAAUGCCUAGGAAAUUGCCUUGAUGUGGGGGAUAACCAUUGGAAACGAUGGCUAAUACCGCAUGAUGCCUACGGGCCAAAGAGGGGGACCUUCGGGCCUCUCGCGUCAAGAUAUGCCUAGGUGGGAUUAGCUAGUUGGUGAGGUAAUGGCUCACCAAGGCGACGAUCCCUAGCUGGUCUGAGAGGAUGAUCAGCCACACUGGAACUGAGACACGGUCCAGACUCCUACGGGAGGCAGCAGUGGGGAAUAUUGCACAAUGGGCGCAAGCCUGAUGCAGCCAUGCCGCGUGUAUGAAGAAGGCCUUCGGGUUGUAAAGUACUUUCAGCAGUGAGGAAGGGGGUGUCGUUAAUAGCGGCAUUUCUUGACGUUAGCUGCAGAAGAAGCACCGGCUAACUCCGUGCCAGCAGCCGCGGUAAUACGGAGGGUGCGAGCGUUAAUCGGAAUUACUGGGCGUAAAGCGCAUGCAGGUGGUUUGUUAAGUCAGAUGUGAAAGCCCGGGGCUCAACCUCGGAACUGCAUUUGAAACUGGCAAACUAGAGUACUGUAGAGGGGGGUAGAAUUUCAGGUGUAGCGGUGAAAUGCGUAGAGAUCUGAAGGAAUACCAGUGGCGAAGGCGGCCCCCUGGACAGAUACUGACACUCAGAUGCGAAAGCGUGGGGAGCAAACAGGAUUAGAUACCCUGGUAGUCCACGCCGUAAACGAUGUCUACUUGGAGGUUGUGGCCUUGAGCCGUGGCUUUCGGAGCUAACGCGUUAAGUAGACCCCCCUGGGAGAAACGGGAAAG